AAACUUGGGGAUAGAGGCUAGCCGAUGCCGUCCGAAGGCAGAGGUCACAGGUUCGAAUCCUGUCGGGUGCGCCA
rnacentral:tRNA from 1 species